rnacentral:rRNA from 2 species
UAGGGAAUCUUCGGCAAUGGACGAAAGUCUGACCGAGCAACGCCGCGUGAGUGAAGAAGGUUUUCGGAUCGUAAAACUCUGUUGUUAGAGAAGAACAAGGACGUUAGUAACUGAACGUCCCCUGACGGUAUCUAACCAGAAAGCCACGGCUAACUACGUGCCAGCAGCCGCGGUAAUACGUAGGUGGCAAGCGUUGUCCGGAUUUAUUGGGCGUAAAGCGAGCGCAGGCGGUUUCUUAAGUCUGAUGUGAAAGCCCCCGGCUCAACCGGGGAGGGUCAUUGGAAACUGGGAGACUUGAGUGCAGAAGAGGAGAGUGGAAUUCCAUGUGUAGCGGUGAAAUGCGUAGAUAUAUGGAGGAACCCCAGUGGCGAAGGCGGCUCUCUGGUCUGUAACUGACGCUGAGGCUCGAAAGCGUGGGGAGCAAACAGG